rnacentral:tRNA from 1 species
GUGCCUUUAACUCAACUGGAUAGAGUGACGGCCUUCUAAGCCGUAAGUUCUAGGUUCGAGCCCUAGAAGGCAUG